UUGACCUUUAUUUGACUUGGGUUGACCAGGUCUUCUCCAUUUUAACCCAGGUCUGAUCAGCAAUUUCAAGUCAGCUAAACUGAAGUUACACCGACCAUCUGUCUUACAGGUACAGAGCACUUCAUUAUGUGCACGAACAGAAAUGCUUAAACGGAUGAAGCAGCUAUUUGCGUCUGAUAGGAGCUAAGUGGGACAUUAAAUUAAUGCCAAACAAGAAAUGCAUAAGGAAGAUUCCAAUGGAUCAAAAAAAACCCUUUUUUUCAUAAAAGAAAAAUAUAUAUAACCAUUCCUGGAUACAUUAAGAAGUUGUCAUUAUCAUUCAAGAGAAAAAAUUAGGUUAGUGUAAUCAAGAAAAAAAUGUAAUGACCAGCAUAUCAAAACACAACCUUGGGAAAUGGUCAAAAUUGGAUAUGUUACAUCCUUAUUAUACCCAAAAGAGAUGAGUGCAAUAUCCUGGCUGCAUUUUUUCCAUGAAAAAGUUUGAAAAUAGGAACUGAAAAUUGCAAAAUUAUGUUUCUGUCUCAUGGACAAGGAUUGUAACAAAAUUAUGAAAUUAUUAUUAU